rnacentral:rRNA from 1 species
GAUGAACGCUAGCGGCAGGCUUAAUACAUGCAAGUCGAACGGUAAAUAGAAUAGCAAUAUUUUAUGAGAGUGACGUACGGGUGCGUAACACGUAUGCAACCUACCUUGUACAGGAGUAUAGCUCGGGGAAACUCGAAUUAACACUUCAUAGUAUUACUGGAUGGCAUCAUUUGGUAAUUAAAACUCAGGUGGUACAAGAU